rnacentral:lncRNA from 1 species
UAAGUAUUUAUAGAAAAACUGCCUGCAAGCUUCUUUCAUGAAUAAUUAUCUACAGAUAGUUAUUUACAGGAAUAACUUCUUUUCGUGGUGACUUUCAUGUAUGAUAUCUUGGUAGUUUUCUCCAAAUUUAUCUUUCAUUGUUAGUUUUCUCUAUCACUUACUUUCUGCACAUGGUAUUUUAUCAAACUUCAAGGGUAUCAUGUGUGAUUAAUUCAUUCAAAAAAAAUGAUCAGAAAACUGUUUAUACUUGUUUCUCUUUUAUGUCUUUUUUCUUUGAUAGUAAUCUCCAAAUUUGACUUCUAUGGGUUAGUUUUCUCCAUGACCAACUCUUCUCAAUAGAUUUCUCUGUUGUCAAAUUUUAAGAAUGCCAUCUGUCUUCAUCAGAUCAUCCCAUCAAUUGAUCGAACACUAUUUAUUAAUCAGAAAAAUCACGGUUGAUUGAUUGUCAGAUUUAUGCUUCAAGAAGGUAUUGCAACUUCAUUUUUCAGAAAAUAUUUAGUUAGACAAGUCCAGCACAAUUUCUUGACUAAUUAGCAAACCCUCGCUCCCAUUCCCCUUUUUCUAUUAUACUUGUGCAUUAGAUAAACCAUUUUGCUUGCUUCAACAUAUAUAAUGAGCCAGGAAAUUCAAUUAGGCUUAAUUACUUUGUGUUCUAGCUUGGCAUUUACAACCAGUUUAUUACAUGUACAAAUGUUCUAGUAGCAUGUCCAUGAUGCAGAAAUACCUGAAUAUGAUUUUGCAAUUAUUAAAUUUUUAAUAUCUUUUGUUCCCUUUUGGAAUGAAUAGAUAUACC